CCUACGGGAGGCAGCAGUAGGGAAUCUUCCACAAUGGGCGAAAGCCUGAUGGAGCAACGCCGCGUGGGUGAAGAAGGUCUUCGGAUCGUAAAACCCUGUUGUUAGAGAAGAAAGUGCGUGAGAGUAACUGUUCACGUUUCGACGGUAUCUAACCAGAAAGCCACGGCUAACUACGGGCCAGCAGCCGCGGUAAUACGUAGGUGGCAAGCGUUAUCCGGAUUUAUUGGGCGUAAAGGGAACGCAGGCGGUCUUUUAAGUCCGAUGUGAAAGCCUUGGGGUUAACCGGAGUAGUGCAUUGGAAACUGGGAGACGUGAGUGCAGAAGAGGAGAGUGGAACUCCAUGUGUAGCGGUGAAAUGCGUAGAUAUAUGGAAGAACACCAGUGGCGAAAGCGGCUCUCUGGUCUGUAACUGACGCUGAGGUUCGAAAGCGUGGGUAGCAAACAGGAUUAGAUACCCGGGUAGUC
rnacentral:rRNA from 1 species